rnacentral:rRNA from 1 species
AUUGAACGCUGGCGGCAGGCCUAACACAUGCAAGUCGAACGAGUGGCGGACGGGUGAGUAAUGUCUGGGAAACUGCCCGAUGGAGGGGGAUAACUACUGGAAACGGUAGCUAAUACCGCAUACCAUCGGAUGUUCCCAGAUGGGAUUAGCUUGUAGGUGAGGUAACGGCUCACCUAGGCGACGAUCCCUAGCUGGGCUGAGAGGAUGACCAGCGACACUGGAACGUAGACACGGUCCAGAAUCCUCGGGGAGGCAGCAGUGGGGAAUAUGGCACAAUGGGCGCAAGCCUAGUGCAGCCAUGCCGCGUGUAGGAAGAAGGCCUUCGGGUUAUAAAGUACUUUCAGCGGGGAGGCGUUACCCGCAGAAGAAGCACCGGCUAACUCCGUGCCAGCAGCCGCGGUAAUUC